GUUGAGUUAGUAUACACGUAGUACGUAGUGUUGUGAUCACUAAAGAAAUUAAUAUUACUUGACU
rnacentral:tRNA from 1 species